rfam:Schistosoma mattheei strain Denwood, Zambia genome assembly, scaffold: SMTD_scaffold0003749
AGUUUUUUAAUCAGUGCAGAGAUUUCGUCAAAUACCGACCCAUUAGGGCUGAUCGGACUUCCAAGAUAAGUAAAGUU